GUGAGAUCCAUAGUGAAACAACAUGUUUUUGUUUUGAAUAAAAUAACAAAACUGCUGGCCGCUCGCCUAUUCUAUCUAUAAAUCACCAUGGUAGUUUACAUUUUUAUGAAUGAAUACUUGGUAUCGUGUUUACUCGAUUUAUCAUCGUAAAUUACAAUCACAAUUCGUCGGUGCUUAUUGUCUAGAAAAUUACUCACAACAAAUAACAAUAAUACAUUUAGAGAAUACAAUAAAAACUUAAUUUAAUUAUAGAAUCGUAUGCGGUCGCGAUGGUUUCGAAUACUAUCCACUAAGUAGCAGGUGGUCACAGAGCCAGCAAACUGUAAUUAAAUUGGACAAUAAAGUAAUUAAAAUUA